rnacentral:rRNA from 1 species
CCAAAGCUGGCGACCGGCGCACGGGUGAGUAACACGUAUCCAACCUGCCUCAUACUCGGGGAUAGCCUUUCGAAAGAAAGAUUAAUAUCCGAUAGCAUAUAUUUCCCGCAUGGGUUUUAUAUUAAAGAGAUUCGGUAUGAGAUGGGGAUGCGUUCCAUUAGUUUGUUGGGGGGGUAACGGCCCACCAAGACUACGAUGGAUAGGGGUUCUGAGAGGAAGGUCCCCCACAUUGGAACUGAGACACGGUCCAA